UACGUAGGGGGCAAGCGUUAUCCGGAUUUACUGGGUGUAAAGGGAGCGUAGACGGUUUUGCAAGUCUGAAGUGAAAGCCCGGGGCUUAACCCCGGGACUGCUUUGGAAACUGUAGGACUAGAGUGCAGGAGAGGUAAGUGGAAUUCCUAGUGUAGCGGUGAAAUGCGUAGAUAUUAGGAGGAACACCAGUGGCGAAGGCGGCUUACUGGACUGUAACUGACGUUGAGGCUCGAAAGCGUGGGGAGCAAAC
rnacentral:rRNA from 1 species